CGGAGUAAGCGGGCCUUGAUCCCACAUAAACUAGUUAACAGCUAGCUACCCUAACCAGCGGGCUUCUACUCG
rnacentral:tRNA from 1 species